UAUGGCCACAUCACGUUGAAACACCGGUUCUCGUAAGAUCACCAAGUUUAGCAACGUCGAGCCUGGUCAGUGCCUAGAUGGGUGACCGCUUGGGAACACCAGGUGGUGUAAG